ensembl:misc_RNA 7SK 7SK RNA
GGAUAUGAGGGUGAUCUGGCUGUGACAUCUGUCACCCCAUUGACCCCAUAGGGUUCAUUCAGCUAAUCUGACUGGCUAGGCAGGUGUCCCCUUCCUCCCUCACUGCUCCACGUGUCCCUCCCAAAGCUGCACACUUGACAGAAGAGGACAGCCUUCCCCUCAAGAGGUGGGCCGUUCUUUGGUCAAGGGUAUACGAGUAGCCACACUCUCCUGCUAGAACUUCCAAACAAGCUCUCAAGGUCCAUUUGUAGGAGAACGUAGAGUAGCCAAGCUUCCAAGACUCCAGACACAUCCAGAUGGUGCUGCAUGUGGCAGUUUGCCUUU